CAUGAUUCCACGCGGCGCGAAAUUUUCUCCGUUGCUGACGACACGUGUACUGUGAGAAAAACAUUGAGUUGUAAAACGCUUAUAUACAGUGUUCUAGUACAGCACAGAUUUAAUUGAUGCUUAUUAGGUGUGAUUUGUCAAACAAAGUUUUCGUUUUGAAUAGUGCGCUCGUAUAUAAUCUAAGACGUUAAGGCAACUGAUGUCCAAAUCAUGUCGUCCUACUGGACGAAGCGGAGAAGAGUAAAUAAAAUUGUUGAAGCAGAGUUGGCGGAACCAAAAGAAAAAAGACAGAUCCGAUACAAACAAUGGAGUCACACAAAUAUGGCAGCAGACUUGCCACCAAGUAAGGUGACAAAACAUGUGAAGGAGGGAACUCUGCCUGACAGGUCAAUGCACUAACACGAGAAUAUUGGCAUCAUCACGUGAGCACCCCAUUGAUGCUCUGCAAGGAGCACAAGAGGAGACAAACCUCAAACUGCAACAGUAGAAGGCAGUGUCUAACGCAGGUAAUGUAGACAAUUUUAUA